UACAUAAAGCUAUAGGUUUAUCCAAUCCCACUGUCAAUCCUAACCCAAAAACGUCAGCUCAAAUCCUUACACUAAAUCCCAAAACCUAAAAAUAUGAUUCUAAACCUUCCACCACAGCUCUGGCCGCCAACACCAUCUAUGUGUGUGUGCACGAUUUUGCGCUGCAUGUUUGUUCGUGGUUUUGCGGCUCAAGUAGGGGUGGUGGCUAAUGGCAACAAUGAAGUCAUCAACUCUUGUAACAUGUCAUACAAAAUCCUAAAAUCGCUUAUUCCAGGAUCCCUACUUGGUUACUGCAACCACUAUUGUCUGGCACUUGAAACCCUAAACUGAAGAAAGUCUGAGGAAAUCGUCAUCUUCUUCCUCAUUCUCGAACGGAAUUGACAUGUAGUUGCGAAGAGGGUCAGUGGGGGUUUUACUUGUUUUUGUUUUUGUUUUUUUUCUUUUUCCUCUCUCUCAAUGAAUCUGAAGCUUGGAAGGCUUGUCAGAAACGUGGGUCCUGCGCCCACUCAUGUGCAACAUGACAAGGGAGGGUUUGAUGGAGGCAGUUGUGCGCAUGACAAUGCAACUCACUGCAAAAAGGACAGCAUCUUGCAGAGAAGCUAAAAAAAACAAAAAACAGGGGUUAGUCCACACAAUCCACCCCAUGAGCACCUGCAUGAGUGCUGCAGUGGGAUGCCUCUCUCGUCCAUCCAUGUUUCCGAGGAGCGGGCUGCCGCGCGCGCUGAAGACUGUCGAUUGUUACCGAUAUCAUUGCUAUUGUUGUAAAGAUCCAUUGAAUUGAAAGUUCGAAGUUGGUGACCUGAAACCAAGAGCUAGGUUCUUUUGCAUUUACGGGUUGUCCGCUGUUUCUUGCUGUGUCCUGCAUGGGUAUUUAGUCGGCUUUCGAGCAGGGUACCUUGAUUGAAUGUUUGCUUGAAUCAUGUUGGUCGACUGAGCCUUGAUCAUAGCCAUGACUGUGUGUGAGUGGAUUUUUUUAACAAUUGACAUUUUGUGAGCAGUUGGACAGUCUCUUUGAAUCUGUAACGAGUUAUUUAUUUGAUAGAGUACAGGUACCAGAGUCUUCGCUAAAGGUUUUCUGCAAUGAAGGUAGUUUUUUUGUCGUUCUUUGUGAUGGAUAGAGUCAUGGUCAUAAUCUAAACCCACUUCACUUGCAACUUGAGACAACUGCACUGGACGAAGUUUGAAGGAACUGCAAUUGCGAAUGUUUAGUCUACUGAAAAAUUUCGAUUUUUCUGUUAGUGAAUCAUGUAUUUCUAGCUAGAUUUUUCUUGCAGUGAGCUUUAGAUUCUCUUGUUGCAGGAGUGUGUUAAACAUCGAUAUGUCCCGACCGCAAAACAUGCCAUAGUGAUCAAGUUUGUAAUCUCGAAUGGUUGAAUAUAAGCGGGUGGGUUUUAUGAUUGUGUUGAACCUUGCAGUUGAGCAUUCACAAAAUUCUUGCCUCAUGCACUGAUAUUGAGAUGAUGUUGAUGACAAUUAAAAAUAUAGCUUAAAAACUAAGGUUGUAGAGAACCGUUGGUCUUGAUUCGUUACUAAUACUCUUUUGUGUCAUUUGCUUGGUCUAUGUGUGCAUAAUGUUCUCCAUAUUGCAAGCCAUUGGACUCAAACCUUACCAGAUCCUUCAUUAUGGGAGCGGUAACUGCGAUUGGUUCGAUUCGUGGGGUAUCUUCGGAAAGACAGUUGUUCAGCGCUGAGGAAAUGGAAGAGUAUUUUUUUCGCUGUUCACCAAGCAUAUUUCUCGCUGGAAUGACUCCAUUCAAAUCAGCGAUCGAACAUCAUUUCUGGAAAACCUCAACUUCAAGCUUGCCAAAUUAAGGCUAUGGUGGACAUUGGAUAUAUUAAUUUCUUUGAGCUACAUUACAAUGAACAAGAGCAGGUCAUGAACAACGAGGGAGUGGUCAGGGUUUGGUGCACGAUGUGCAACCUCAACUCUUCGAAAUCUCCUGCAAAGAUUACUAUGGCUAACAACUACAAUUCUCCGGACUGUAUUUUCAUAGCUACCGACACUCGCUACCUCUCAGACAUCAUGAAAACCUUGUCUCUCGGCUUUGGCAGCAACUUAAGGGGUACGUCCUUCCAGACUUAAGUCUUUGUUGUUGAGUUCAACUUGUUCUAAAUUAUAGGCUGUGGAAACCCUGCUUACGUCAUUAACAAGAUGUCUUUUAGGUUUAUCACUUAAUAUUAUUAUUCAGUGAGUCCCUUUUUGGGUUGAAUUUUGUAUUAUAAAAGGAUUAUUCUUGAUUCUUGUUACAAAUGAUAUUUUACACAUUUGUAUGCAACAAAGAGAGAAUCAAGUUCAAAAGUU